UUCGAUUCUGGCUCAGAACGAACGCUGGCGGCAGGCUUAACACAUGCAAGUUGAACGGGAUUUGCUAAGUGCUUGCACGGAGCAAUGAGAGUAGCGCACUGGUGAGUAACACGUGGGAACAUGCCUUUUGGUGGGGGACAACAGAGGGAAACUUCUGCUAAUACCGCAUAAGCCCUAAGGGGGAAAGAUUAAUUGCCGAAAGAUUGGCCCGCGGAAGAUUAGGUAGUUGGUGGGGUAAAGGCCUACCAAGCCGACGAUCUAUAGCUGGUCUGAGAGGACGAACAGCCACAUUGGAACUGAGACACGGUCCAGACUCCUACGGGAGGCAGCAGUGAGGAAUAUUGGGCAAUGGAGGAAACUCUGACCCAGCCAUGCCGCGUGAGUGAAGAAGGUUUUCGAAUUGUAAAGCUCUUUCGGAUACGAGGAUGAUGACGGUAGUAUCUAAAGAAGCCCCGGCAAACUUCGUGCCAGCCGCGGC
rnacentral:rRNA from 1 species